UAACAGCACCGAAAAGCUCAUUCACAAAGUUCGCUGGGGGUGCAUAGAGCGGAAUUCGAGCUCAAGUGUGGCCAUUAUAUACGAGGUUGAGAGGUUGAUAGCACCGAGGCAGAAAGAAAGG